rnacentral:rRNA from 1 species
UACGUAGGGGGCAAGCGUUGUCCGGAAUUAUUGGGCGUAAAGAGCGCGUAGGCGGUCCGAUAAGUCGGCUGUGAAAGUCAGGGGCUCAACCCUUGAAAGCCGGCCGAUACUGUCGGACUAGAGUCCGGAAGAGGCAAGUGGAAUUCCCGGUGUAGCGGUGAAAUGCGCAGAUAUCGGGAGGAACACCAAUGACGAAGGCAGCUUGCUGGGACGGUACUGACGCUGAGGCGCGAAAGCGUGGGGAGCAAACAGG